rnacentral:rRNA from 1 species
UCGAGAAUUUUUGACAAUGGGGGAAACCCUGAUCGAGCGACGCCGCGUGGAGGAUGAAGGUCUUCGGGUUGUAAACUCCUGUCAUUUGGGAACAAGGCGUGAGUAUUAACUGUGCUCACGUUGAUAGUACCAGAAGAGGAAGGGACGGCUAACUCUGUG